UACGUAGGGCGCGAGCGUUGUCCGGAAUUAUUGGGCGUAAAGGGCUCGUAGGCGGUCUGUCGCGUCGGGUGUGAAAACUCAGGGCUUAACCCUGAGCCUGCUUCCGAUACGGGCAGACUAGAGGUAUGCAGGGGAGAACGGAAUUCCUGGUGUAGCGGUGAAAUGCGCAGAUAUCAGGAGGAACACCGGUGGCGAAGGCGGUUCUCUGGGCAUUACCUGACGCUGAGGAGCGAAAGUGUGGGGAGCGAACAGG
rnacentral:rRNA from 1 species